GCAUAUCAAUAAGCGGAGGAAAAGAAACUAACAAGGAUUCCCCUAGUAACGGCGAGUGAAGCGGGAAAAGCUCAAAUUUAAAAUCUGGCAGGUUAUCCUGUCCGAGUUGUAGUUUCAAGAAGCGUUUUCGGUGCGCGUCUGGGUAUAAGUUCUUUGGAACAGGACAUCAUAGAGGGUGAGAAUCCCGUUUAUGACCCGGAACAGCGUACUAUGUGAUACGUUUUCUAAGAGUCAGGUUGUUUGGGAAUGCAGCCUAAAAUGGGUGGUAAAUUUCAUCUAAAGCUAAAUAUUGGCGAGAGACCGAUAGCGAACAAGUACCGUGAGGGAAAGAUGAAAAGAACUUUGAAAAGAGAGUUAAACAGUACGUGAAAUUGUUGAAAGGGAAACGUUUGAAAUCAGUCGUGCGGGCGGGUAAUCAGCUUGGCCUUUGGGUCUUGUGCACUUACUCGUCUCGCAGGCCAGCGUCGGUUUUGUUUGCCGGAUAAAUGCCAAUGGAAUGUAGCUCAACCUUUUACGAGGAGGGGUGUUAUAGCCCUGGUAAAUACGGCGGUCGAGACCGAGGUCUGCAGUUGAUGCCUCUCGGGGCUGGGGACUCCAUCGCUCAUUCGCACCCGCGCCUAGACAGCUUGCUGACUAGGUGUGUGGUCUGUGGGUGACACGGUGGGCUACCACACAUCGACUUGGGUCGCUGGCGUAAUGGUUUUAAAUGACCCGUCUUGAAACACGGACCAAGGAGUCUAACAUAUAUGCGAGUGUUUGGGUGGCAAACUCAUGCGCGUAAUGAAAGUGAAUGUAGGUGAGAUCCUCACGGAGCAUCAUCGACCGAUCUUGAAAUUUUUGGAUGGAUUUGAGUAAGAGCAUAUCUGUUGGGACCCGAAAGAUGGUGAACUAUGCCUGAAUAGGGUGAAGCCAGAGGAAACUCUGGUGGAGGCUCGUAGCGAUUCUGACGUGC
rnacentral:rRNA from 1 species